rnacentral:lncRNA from 1 species
AGCUGGAGGCUCACGCAGGGACACGACCAGACCAUGGCACAAUGAUGUCCUCAGCCACUCAGCUGAAGAGAUUUUCUGCUUUCUACAAGGACACCAACAUCAAGCUUUCUGCGUUGUCCUGGACCUAAGGGAGAGGAAUGUACACAGCCCCAGACUGCACCGCGCCAUGGCAUCACAGGUGUGAGACAUGCGUCCCACAGCUGUGGACACAGGGAGCUUGGUGUCACCCACACUAAGCUGUUUCUCUGUAUGAAGAUCUAAAAAUAAAAUUUAUCUCAACAUAAAAUUUUUCAAUUCAUGAACCUAUUAUCCUCUUAUGGUUUAUGUGGUCCUUUUUACAUUAUUAUAUUUAAUUUAAAUAUCUUUAUAUGUAUGCAUAUAUGUAAUAUAUGUACAUAUAUAUACAUAUAUAAAUAUAUAUAUAAAUAUACACAUAAAUGUACAAAUAUGCACAAAUGUACACACAAAUGUACAAAUAUAUAGAUAGAUAUUUAUGCAUAUUUUACACCUCUUUCUAUAUACAUGUACAGAAAUCUUAACGUAAACGUAUUGUUUUGCACAUAUGAUGUAAAGGGAGUAGGAAGCCAAUGUGAGGGUGCUCUGAGAUCAUGUGGGUAUGAAGGUUUCAAAAUGUGGCAACUGGACAAUCAGAGAGCAGUACAGAAACACGUCGGGUCUGAGCCACCAGUCACGUCCUUAGGUCAGCACAAUGAGGCAGGAAGUAGGGUUUCAUGGGCUCCGUGCAGGCCUCACCAUGAGGUCAGCUGCUGGCAUGCGGAUAACUGGGAUGUUCUGUGCUCUGUCUCUCGUGAUUUUCAUCUGAGCCAAUAA